rnacentral:rRNA from 1 species
AACGCGUAGGCAACCUGCCCCAUACAGAGGAAUAGCCAAGGGAAACUUUGAUUAAUGCCUCAUAAAACCAAGCUGACACAUGUCAAUUUGGUCAAAGAUUUAUCGGUAUGGGAUGGGCCUGCGUCUGAUUAGUUAGUUGGUGAGGUAACGGCUCACCAAGGCAGCGAUCAGUAGCCGACCUGAGAGGGUAACCGGCCACAUUGGAACUGAGACACGGUCCAAACUCCUACGGGAGGCAGCAGUGGGGAAUCUUGCACAAUGGGCGAAAGCCUGAUGCAGCAACGCCGCGUGAGCGAAGAAGGCCUUUGGGUCGUAAAGCUCUGUCCUUGGGGAAGAAACAAAUGACGGUACCCGAGGAGGAAGCCCCGGCUAACUACGUGCCAGCAGCCGCGGUAAUACGUAGGGGGCGAGCGUUAUCCGGAAUUAUUGGGCGUAAAGAGUGCGUAGGUGGCUUUGUAAGCGCGGGGUGAAAGGCAAUGGCUUA